UGUAGUCUCGCACAGAUGCAUAUCAAUAAGCGGAGGAAAAGAAACUAACAAGGAUUCCCUUAGUAACGGCGAGUGAAGCGGGAAGAGCUCAAAUUUGAAAUCUUCAAGGUUUUACCUUGACGAAUUGUAGUUUAAAGAAGUGUUUUCUGUUGAGGUUUUGGUAAAAGUUCUUUGGAAUAGGACAUCAUAGAGGGUGAGAAUCCCGUAUUUGACCAUUAUUUUCAGCUGUGUGAUACACUUUCAAAGAGUCGGAUUGUUUGGGAAUGCAGUCCAAAAUGGGUGGUAAAUUUCAUCUAAAGCUAAAUAUUGGCGAGAGACCGAUAGCGAACAAGUACCGUGAGGGAAAGAUGAAAAGAACUUUGAAAAGAGAGUUAAACAGUACGUGAAAUUGUCAAAAGGGAAGCGUUUGACACCAGUGUUGUUUUCUCGAAAAUCAAUUAAAAAGAGUUUGAUUUUGUUGUGUAUUGACCUUAACAGCUUGCAUUUCAAUUUUCUUGCUUUUUUUAAUGCACUUUUCGUUUAACAAGUCAACAUCAGUUUCUUUUGUUGUAAAAAGGUCAUUGGAAGGUGGCUUUCUUUUCGGAGAAAGUGUUUAUAGCCUUUGACUCCUGCAAUCGGAGAGACUGAGGUCUGCAGCGUAGAUCCUUCGGGGUUAGAUACAUUUGUGCUAAGUUAUAGCUUUUUAUAGACAACUUGUUGACUAUGAUUAGUCUUGUAGCCUACUCGCUUAUGCUAUUUUACCUACGCUUAGGAUGUUGAGCGCAUGUCUCUCUCU
rnacentral:rRNA from 1 species